AUUAAUUUCCGAUCCUUAUCACAAUAAUUUAACAGUAGAUCAGUUUCUAACCCUUAUCACAUCAAUCUUAUCGUUUAAUGUGCAUAACCCCUACCGAUCUAAUGAUAAACAAACAUAUUAUUAGUAUGAUAAAUUCAUGAAUAUAUUACAUUGCAACUUACAAGUAGACAGACAGACAUAUAUAGUGGGUGCAUUUGUGAAGAAAGCAUCCACCGAAAGGAGACAUUUCCCUUUAAAAGUCUUUGGCCCUCAUUUGC